UACGUAGGUGGCGAGCGUUGUCCGGAUUUACUGGGCGUAAAGGGCGUGCAGGCGGUUUGUUAAGUGCAGGGUGAAAGCUCCCGGCUCAACUGGGAGAGGUCCUUGCAUACUGGCGAACUCGAGGGAGGCAGAGGAAAGUGGAAUUCCCGGUGUAGUGGUGAUAUGCGUAGAUAUCCGGAGGAACACCGGUGGCGAAGGCGGCUUCCUGGACCGACACUGACGCUGAGGCGCGAAAGCUAGGGGAGCAAACGGG
rnacentral:rRNA from 1 species